CAGGUUUACCUGUGUGACUGCGUACCUUUUGUAUAAUGGGUCAGCGACUUAUAUUCUGUAGCAAGGUUAACCGAAUAGGGGAGCCGGAGGGAAACCGAGUCUUAAUUGGGCGUUAAGUUGCAGGGUAUAGACCCGAAACCCGGUGAUCUAGCCAUGGGCAGGUUGAAGGUUGGGUAACACUAACUGGAGGACCGAACCGACUAAUGUUGAAAAAUUAGCGGAUGACCUGUGGCUGGGGGUGAAAGGCCAAUCAAACCGGGAGAUAGCUGGUUCUCCCCGAAAGCUAUUUAGGUAGCGCCUCGUGAAUUCAUCUCCGGGGGUAGAGCACUGUUUCGGCUAGGGGGCCAUCCCGGCUUACCAACCCGAUGCAAACUGCGAAUACCGGAGAAUGUUAUCACGGGAGACACACGGCGGGUGCUAACGUCCGUCGUGAAGAGGGAAACAACCCAGACCGCCAGCUAAGGUCCCAAAGUCAUGGUUAAGUGGGAAACGAUGUGGGAAGGCCCAGACAGCCAGGAUGUUGGCUUAGAAGCAGCCAUCAUUUAAAGAAAGCGUAAUAGCUCACUGGUCGAGUCGGCCUGCGCGGAAGAUGUAACGGGGCUAAACCAUGCACCGAAGCUGCGGCAGCGACGCUGAUGCGUUGUUGGGUAGGGGAGCGUUCUGUAAGCCUGUGAAGGUGGCCUGUGAGGGUUGCUGGAGGUAUCAGAAGUGCGAAUGCUGACAUAAGUAACGAUAAAGCGGGUGAAAAGCCCGCUCGCCGGAAGACCAAGGGUUCCUGUCCAACGUUAAUCGGGGCAGGGUGAGUCGACCCCUAAGGCGAGGCCGAAAGGCGUAGUCGAUGGGAAACGGGUUAAUAUUCCCGUACUUGGUGUUACUGCGAAGGGGGGACGGAGAAGGCUAUGUUGGCCGGGCGACGGUUGUCCCGGUUUAAGCGUGUAGGCUGGUUUUCCAGGCAAAUCCGGAAAAUCAAGGCUGAGGCGUGAUGACGAGGCACUACGG
rnacentral:rRNA from 1 species